CCUGUUUCCCUGCCUGGGUGACUUGAGGGGCCCUCCUUGAGCACAGGGCCUGCUCUUCCCUUCUCAGGCCUUGCCUGGGUGGCCUGGAAGAUGCCAGGAACCUGCCUGUGAGCAUCCUGACCAGGGCGGUGCUCUCUGCAGUGCCCCUGGGAACAGGCGCUACUGUUUGAACACUUGGCCUUGAACUGGAAACGCCUCUGGAUUCCCAGGGCUGAGUCCCUGAGCAUGAGGUGGUCUUCCUGCCCCACAGAUAGCACUUCAGGUCGGGGGGCUCUGCAGGCUGCGUAAGGCAGGCCCUGCAAAGGAUGCGGCUCCGAGCCCAGAGCUCUCCGUGCACUGAUUUUGGAGCACUGGCCACCACCUUCGAUUCGAUCCCAGCACCUGUGACAUGGCCACCAAGUGCCUCUUCUGGUGGAGUGAGAGCCAUGAAGAUGCUUUCAACGUGUGAGACAGACAGACAGACAGACAGAGGCCCGGCCUUGCAAAGAUUCCCUCAGAGAUGACCCAGGGUUACAAGGGGGGUGACUACACUCCAGCAAAAGAUUCCAUAGUGAUGAAAGAUUUGGACCCCAUCCCCGGUGUCGAGGCUUCCAAGGAUGAGCGUGGCCCCUUAGUGGCCUUGUUUGGGGUGGCAGCGGUGAGAGGAGAAACAGAGCAAGAGGGAGACUUCGUGAGCUCCGAGGGAACACCUUGCUCUAUCCGGGCCCUGCACAGCCCGCCUUACUACACUCUUCCUACCCGUCUACUGAGUUCAAGCCACUUCUCACCAAACCCACCAGGAUGAGGCCCCAGAAGAAGCUGUGGGAUCGAGGU
rnacentral:lncRNA from 1 species